rnacentral:lncRNA from 1 species
UUGGAAAUACCCCAAAGCCUUGUCUUUAUCUGUCAACUCCUCCAAAAUGUCAAAACACAAACAAGAUAACUCUUUCUUAAAUUUUCAACCAUCAAUUUUUUAUUCACCUAGCCUAAAAGUCCUGAUUAUCAGUUCUGGGUCCCUGGCAAUGACUGUUGGGUACAAACUGCAAAGCUUUGUUCUGCAGGUAGGGCUGGGCUUUUCAUUGACCAUGGGUUGGAAUAGUUCUGUGGGCAUAGUGUGUCUUCGAAGCCACUAUGUUUUCUGCACUUGUGACUAGAGAGCACCUUGAUAGCUCAGUUUGUAGAGCGGUGGACUGUAAGAUGCUCCUUUGUGGAACGCUGUGAUCCUAAGGUCGCUGGUUCAACUCCAGCUCCAAGCACCUCCUUGUCAUUGUAAAUACCCCCAAGCCUUGUCUUUAUCUGUCAACUCCUCCAAAAUGUCAAAACACAAAGAAGAUAACUCUUUCUUAAAUUUUCAACCAUCAAUUUUUAUUCACCCAGCCUAAAAGUCCUGAUUAUCAGUUCUGGGUCCCUGGCAAUGACUUUUGGGUACAAACUGCAAAGCUUUGUUCUGCAGGUAGGGCUGGGCUUUUCAUUGACCAUGGGUUGGAAUAGUUCUGUGGGCAUAGUGUGUCUUCGAAGCCACUAUGUUUUCUGCACUUGUGACUAGAGAGCACCUUGAUAGCUCAGUUGGUAGAGCGGUGGACUGUAAGAUGCUCCUUGUGUGAAACGCUGUGAUCCUAAGGUCGCUGGUUCAACUCCAGCUCCAAGCAGCUCCUUGUCAUUGGAAAUACCCCCAAGCCUUGUCUUUAUCUGUCAACUCCUCCAAAAUGUCAAAACACAAAGAAGAUAACUCUUUCUUAAAUUUUCAACCAUCAAUUUUUUAUUCACCCAGCCUAAAAGUCCUGAUUAUCAGUUCUGGGUCCCUGGCAAUGACUGUUGGGUACAAACUGCAAAGCUUUGUUCUGCAGGUAGGGCUGGGCUUUUCAUUGACCAUGGGUUGGAAUAGUGCUGUGGGCAUAGUGUGUCUUCGAAGCCACUAUGUUUUCUGCACUUGUGACUAGAGAGCACCUUGAUAGCUCAGUUGGUAGAGCGGUGGACUGUAAGAUGCUCCUUGUGUGAAACGCUGUGAUCCUAAGGUCGCUGGUUCAACUCCAGCUCCAAGCACCUCCUUGACAUUGGAAAUACCCCCAAGCCUUGUCUUUAUCUGUCAACUCCUCCAAAAUGUCAAAACACAAAGAAGAUAACUCUUUCUUUAAUUUUCAACCAUCAAUUUUUUAUUCACCCAGCCUAAAAGUCCUGAUUAUCAGUUCUGGGUCCCUGGCAAUGACUGUUGGGUACAAACUGCAAAGCUUUGUUCUUCAGGUAGGGCUGGGCUUUUCAUUGACCAUGGGUUGGAAUAGUUCUGUGGGCAUAGUGUGUCUUCGAAGCCACUAUGUUUUCUGCACUUGUGACUAGAGAGCACCUUGAUAGCUCAGUUUGUAGAGCGGUGGACUGUAAGAUGCUCCUUGUGUGAAACGCUGUGAUCCUAAGGUCUCUGGUUCAACUCCAGCUCCAAGCACCUCCUUGUCAUUGGAAAUACCCCCAAGCCUUGUCUUUAUCUUUCAACUCCUCCAAAAUGUCAAAACACAAAGAAGAUAACUCUUUCUUAAAUUUUCAACCAUCAAUUUUUUAUUCACCCAGCCUAACAGUCCUGAUUAUCAGUUCUGGGUCCCUGGCAAUGACUGUUGGGUACAAACUGCAAAGCUUUGUUCUGCAGGUAGGGCUGGGCUUUUCAUUGACCAUGGGUUGGAAUAGUUCUGUGGGCAUAGUGUGUCUACGAAGCCACUAUGUUUUCUGCACUUGUGACUAGAGAGCACCUUGAUAGCUCAGUUGGUAGAGCGGUGGACUGUAAGAUGCUCCUUGUGUGAAACGCUGUGAUCCUAAGGUCGCUGGUUCAACUCCAGCUCCAAGCAGCUCCUUGUCAUUGGAAAUACCCCCAAGCCUUGUCUUUAUCUGUCAACUCCUCCAAAAUGUCAAAACACAAAGAAGAUAACUCUUUCUUAAAUUUUCAACCAUCAAUUUUUUAUUCACCCAGCCUAAAAGUCCUGAUUAUCAGUUCUGGGUCCCUGGCAAUGACUGUUGGGUACAAACUGCAAAGCUUUGUUCUGCAGGUAGGGCUGGGCUUUUCAUUGACCAUGGGUUGGAAUAGUUCUGUGGGCAUAGUGUGUCUUCGAAGCCACUAUGUUUUCUGCACUUGUGACUAGAGAGCACCUUGAUAGCUCAGUUGGUAGAGCGGUGGACUGUAAGAUCCUCCUUGUGUGAAACGCUGUGAUCCUAAGGUCGCUGGUUCAACUCCAGCUCCAAGCAACUCCUUGUCAUUGGAAAUACCCCCAAGCCUUGUCUUUAUCUGUCAACUCCUCCAAAAUGUCAAAACACAAAGAAGAUAACUCUUUCUUAAAUUUUCAACCAUCAAUGUUUUAUUCACCCAGCCUAAAAGUCCUGAUUAUCAGUUCUGGGUCCCUGGCAAUGACUGUUGGGUACAAACUGCAAAGCUUUGUUCUGCAGGUAGGGCUGGGCUUUUCAUUGACCAUGGGUUGGAAUAGUUCUGUGGGCAUAGUGUGUCUUCGAAGCCACUAUGUUUUCUGCACUUGCGACUAGAGAGCACCUUGAUAGCUCAGUUUGUAGAGCGGUGGACUGUAAGAUGCUCCUUGUGUGAAACGCUGUGAUCCUAAGGUGGCUGGUUCAACUCCAGCUCCAAGCACCUCCUUGUCAUUGGAAAUACCCCCAAGCCUUGUCUUUAUCUUUCAACUCCUCCAAAAUGUCAAAACACAAAGAAGAUAACUCUUUCUUAAAUUUUCAACCAUCAAUUUUUUAUUCACCCAGCCUAAAAGUCCUGAUUAUCAGUUCUGGGUCCCUGGCAAUGACUGUUGGGUACAAACUGCAAAGCUUUGUUCUGCAGGUAGGGCUGGGCUUUUCAUUGACCAUGGGUUGGAAUAGUUCUGUGGGCAUAGUGUGUCUUCGAAGCCACUAUGUUUUCUGCACUUGUGACUAGAGAGCACCUUGAUAGCUCAGUUGGUAGAGCGGUGGACUGUAAGAUGCUCCUUGUGUGAAACGCUGUGAUCCUAAGUUCGCUGUUUCAACUCCAGCUCCAUGCACCUCCUUGUCAUUGGAAAUACCCCCAAGCCUUGUCUUUAUCUGUCAACUCCUCCAAAAUGUCAAAACACAAACAAGAUAGCUCUUUCUUAAAUUUUCAACCAUCAAUUUUUUAUUCACCCAGCCUAAAAGUCCUGAUUAUCAGUUCUGGGUCCCUGGCAAUGACUGUUGGGUACAAACUGCAAAGCUUUGUUCUGCAGGUAGGGCUGGGCUUUUCAUUGACCAUGGGUUGGAAUAGUUCUUUGGGCAUAGUGUGUCUUCGAAGCCACUAUGUUUUCUGCACUUGAGACUAGAGAGCACCUUGAUAGCUCAGUUGGUACAGCGGUGGACUGUAAGAUGCUCCUUGUGUGAAACGCUGUGAUCCUAAGGUCGCUGGUUCAACUCCAGCUCCAUGCACCUCCUUGUCAUUGGAAAUACCCCCAAGCCUUGUCUUUAUCUGUCAACUCCUCCAAAAUGUCAAAACACAAAGAAGAUAACUCUUUCUUAAAUUUUCAACCAUCAAUUUUUUAUUCACCCAGCCUAAAAGUCCUGAUUAUCAGUUCUGGGUCCCUGGCAAUGACUGUUGGGUACAAACUGCAAAGCUUUGUUCUGCAGGUAGGGCUGGGCUUUUCAUUGACCAUGGGUUGGAAUAGUUCUGUGGGCAUAGUGUGUCUUCGAAGCCACUAUGUUUUCUGCACUUGUGACUAGAGAACACCUUGAUAGCUCAGUUGGUAGAGCGGUGGACUGUAAAAUGCUCCUUGUGUGAAACGCUGUGAUCCUAAGGUCGCUGGUUCAACUCCAGCUCCAAGCACCUCCUUGUCAUUGGAAAUACCCCCAAGCCUUGUCUUUAUCUGUCAACUCCUCCAAAAUGUCAAAACACAAAGAAGAUAACUCUUUCUUAAAUUUUCAACCAUCAAUGUUUUAUUCACCCAGCCUAAAAGUCCUGAUUAUCAGUUCUGGGUCCCUGGCAAUGACUGUUGGGUACAAACUGCAAAGCUUUGUUCUGCAGGUAGGGCUGGGCUUUUCAUUGACCAUGGGUUGGAAUAGUUCUGUGGGCAUAGUGUGUCUUCGAAGCCACUAUGUUUUCUGCACUUGUGACUAGAGAGCACCUUGAUAGCUCAGUUGGUAGAGCGGUGGCCUGUAAGAUGCUCCUUGUGUGAAACGCUGUGAUCCUAAGGUCGCUGGUUCAACUCCAGCUCCAAGCACCUCCGUGUCUUUGGAAAUACCCCCAAGCCUUGUCUUUAUCUGUCAACUCCUCCAAAAUGUCAAAACACAAAGAAGAUAACUCUUUCUUAAAUUUUCAACCAUCAAUUUUUUAUUCACCCAGCCUAAAAGUCCUGAUUAUCAGUUCUGGGUCCCUGGCAAUGACUGUUGGGUACAAACUGCAAAGCUUUGUUCUGCAGGUAGGGCUGGGCUUUUCAUUGACCAUGGGUUGGAAUAGUUCUUUGGGCAUAGUGUGUCUUCGAAGCCACUAUGUUUUCUGCACUUGUGCCUAGAGAGCACCUUGAUAGCUCAGUUGCUAGAGCGGUGGACUCUAAGAUGCUCCUUGUGUGAAACGCUGUGAUCCUAAGUUCGCUGGUUCAACUCCAGCUCCAUGCACCUCCUUGUCAUUGGAAAUACCCCCAAGCCUUGUCUUUAUCUGUCAACUCCUCCAAAAUGUCAAAACACAAAGAAGAUAACUCUUUCUUAAAUUUUCAACCAUCAAUUUUUUAUUCACCCAGCCUAAAAGUCCUGAUUAUCAGUUCUGGGUCCCUGGCAAUGACUGUUGGGUACAAACUGCAAAGCUUUGUUCUGCAGGUAGGGCUGGGCUUUUCAUUGACCAUGGGUUGGAAUAGUUCUGUGGGCAUAGUGUGUCUUCGAAGCCACUAUGUUUUCUGCACUUGCGACUAGAGAGCACCUUGAUAUCUCAGUUGGUAGAGCGGUGGACUGUAAGAUGCUCCUUGUGUGAAACGCUGUGAUCCUAAGUUCGCUGGUUCAACUCCAGCUCCAUGCACCUCCUUGUCAUUGGAAAUACCCCCAAGCCUUGUCUUUAUCUGUCAACUCCUCCAAAAUGUCAAAACACAAACAAGAUAGCUCUUUCUUAAAUUUUCAACCAUCAAUUUUUUAUUCACCCAGCCUAAAAGUCCUGAUUAUCAGUUCUGGGUCCCUGGCAAUGACUGUUGGGUACAAACUGCAAAGCUUUGUUCUGCAGGUAGGGCUGGGCUUUUCAUUGACCAUGGGUUGGAAUAGUUCUUUGGGCAUAGUGUGUCUUCGAAGCCACUAUGUUUUCUGCACUUGUGACUAGAGAGCACCUUGAUAGCUCAGUUGGUAGAGCGGUGGACUGUAAGAUGCUCCUUGUGUGAAACGCUGUGAUCCUAAGUUCGCUGGUUCAACUCCAGCUCCAUGCACCUCCUUGUCAUUGGAAAUACCCCCAAGCCUUGUCUUUAUCUGUCAACUCCUCCAAAAUGUCAAAACAAAAAGAAGAUAACUCUUUCUUAAAUUUUCAACCAUCAAUUUUUUAUUCACCCAGCCUAAAAGUCCUGAUUAUCAGUUCUGGGUCCCUGGCAAUGUCUGUUGGGUACAAACUGCAAAGCUUUGUUCUGCAGGUAGGGCUGGGCUUUUCAUUGACCAUGGGUUGGAAUAGUUCUGUGGGCAUAGUGUGUCUUCGAAGCCACUAUGUUUUCUGCACUUGUGAAUAGAGAGCACCUUGAUAGCUCAGUUGGUAGAGCGGUGGACUGUAAAAUGCUCCUUGUGUGAAACGCUGUGAUCCUAAGGUCGCUGGUUCAACUCCAGCUCCAAGCACCUCCUUGUCAUUGGAAAUACCCCCAAGCCUUGUCUUUAUCUGUCAACUCCUCCAAAAUGUCAAAACACAAAGAAGAUAACUCUUUCUUAAAUUUUCAACCAUCAAUGUUUUAUUCACCCAGUCUAAAAGUCCUGAUUAUCAGUUCUGGGUCCCUGGCAAUGACUGUUGGGUACAAACUGCAAAGCUUUGUUCUGCAGGUAGGGCUGGGCUUUUCAUUGACCAUGGGUUGGAAUAGUUCUGUGGGCAUAGUGUGUCUUCGAAGCCACUAUGUUUUCUGCACUUGUGACUAGAGAGCACCUUGAUAGCUCAGUCGGUAGAGCGGUGGACUGUAAGAUGCUCCUUGUGUGAAACGCCGUGAUCCUAAGGUCGCUGGUUCAACUCCAGCUCUAAGCACCUCCUUGUCAUUGGAAAUACCCCCAAGCCUUGUCUUUAUCUGUCAACUCCUCCAAAAUGUCAAAACACAAAGAAGAUAACUCUUGCUUAAAUUUUCAACCAUCAAUUUUUUAUUCACCCAGCCUAAAAGUCCUGAUUAUCAGUUCUGGGUCCCUGGCAAUGACUGUUGGGUACAAACUGCAAAGCUUUGUUCUGCAGGUAGGGCUGGGCUUUUCAUUGACCAUGGGUUGGAAUAGUUCUGUGGGCAUAGUGUGUCUUCGAAGCCACUAUGUUUUCUGCACUUGUGACUAGAGAGCACCUUGAUAGCUCAGUUGGUAGAGCGGUGGACUGUAAGAUGCUCCUUGUGUGAAACGCUGUGAUCCUAAGGUCGCUGGUUCAACUCCAGCUCCAAGCACCUCCUUGUCAUUGGAAAUACCCCCAAGCCUUGUCUUUAUCUGUCAACUCCUCCAAAAUGUCAAAACACAAAGAAGAUAACUCUUUCUUAAAUUUUCAACCAUCAAUGUUUUAUUCACCCAGCCUAAAAGUCCUGAUUAUCAGUUCUGGGUCCCUGGCAAUGACUGUUGGGUACAAACUGCAAAGCUUUGUUCUGCAGGUAGGGCUGGGCUUUUCAUUGACCAUGGGUUGGAAUAGUUCUGUGGGCAUAGUGUGUCUUAGAAGCCACUAUGUUUUCUGCACUUGUGAAUAGAGAGCACCUUGAUAGCUCAGUUGGUUGAGCGGUGGACUGUAAGAUGCUCCUUGUGGGAAACGCCGUGAUCCUAAGGUCGCUGGUUCAACUCCAGCUCCAAGCACCUCCUUGUCAUUGGAAAUACACCCUAGCCUUGUCUUUGUCUGUCAACUCCUCCAAAAUGUCAAAACACAAAGAACAUAACUCUUUCUUAAAUUUUCAACCAUCAAUUUUUUAUUCACCCAGCCUAAAAGUCCUGAUUAUCAGUUCUGGGUCCCUGGCAAUGACUGUUGGGUACAAACUGGAAAGCUUUGUUCUGCAGGUAGGGCUGGGCUUUUCAUUGACCAUGGGUUGGAAUAGUUCUGUGGGCAUAGUGUGUCUUCGAAGCCACUAUGUUUUCUGCACUUGUGACUAGAGAGCACCUUGAUAGCUCAGUUGGUAGAGCGGUGGACUGUAAGAUGCUCCUUGUGUGAAACGCUGUGAUCCUAAGGUCGCUGGUUCAACUCCAGCUCCAAGCACGUCCUUGUCAUUGGAAAUACCCCCAAGCCUUGUCUUUAUCUGUCAACUCCUCCAAAAUGUCAAAACACAAACAAGAUAACUCUUUCUUAAAUUUUCAACCAUCAAUGUUUUAUUCACCCAGCCUAAAAGUCCUGAUUAUCAGUUCUGGGUCCCUGGCAAUGACUGUUGGGUACAAACUGCAAAGCUUUGUUCUGCAGGUAGGGCUGGGCUUUUCAUUGACCAUGGGUUGGAAUAGUUCUGUGGGCAUAGUGUGUCUUCGAAGCCACUAUGUUUUCUGCACUUGUGAAUAGAGAUCACCUUGAUAGCUCAGUUGGUUGAGCGGUGGACUGUAAGAUGCUCCUUGUGGGAAAUGCUGUGAUCCUAAGGUCGCUGGUUCAACUCCAGCUCCAAGCACCUCCUUGUCAUUGGAAAUACCCCAUAGCCUUGUCUUUAUCUGUCAACUCCUCCAAAAUGUCAAAACACAAACAAGAUAACUCUUUCUUAAAUUUUCAACCAUCAAUUUUUUAUUCACCCAGCCUAAAAGUCCUGAUUAUCAGUUCUGGGUCCCUGGCAAUGACUGUUGGGUACAAACUGCAAAGCUUUGUUCUGCAGGUAGGGCUGGGCUUUUCAUUGACCAUGGGUUGGAAUAGUUCUGUGGGCAUAGUGUGUCUUCGAAGCCACUAUGUUUUCUGCACUUGUGACUAGAGAGCACCUUGAUAGCUCAGUUGGUAGAGCGGUGGACUGUAAGAUGCUCCUUGUGUGAAACGCUGUGAUCCUAAGGUCGCUGGUUCAACUCCAGCUCCAAGCACCUCCUUGUCAUUGGAAAUACCCCCAAGCCUUGUCUUUAUCUGUCAACUCCUCCAAAAUGUCAAAACACAAACAAGAUAACUCUUUCUUAAAUUUUCAACCAUCAAUGUUUUAUUCACCCAGUCUAAAAGUCCUGAUUAUCAGUUCUGGGUCCCUGGCAAUGACUGUUGGGUACAAACUGCAAAGCUUUGUUCUGCAGGUAGGGCUGGGCUUUUCAUUGACCAUGGGUUGGAAUAGUUCUGUGGGCAUAGUGUGUCUUCGAAGCCACUAUGUUUUCUGCACUUGUGACUAGAGAGCACCUUGAUAGCUCAGUUGGUAGAGCGGUGUACUGUAAGAUGCUCCUUGUAUGAAACGCUGUGAUCCUAAGGUCGCUGGUUCAACUCCAGCUCCAAGCACCUCCUUGUCAUUGGAAAUACCCCAAAGCCUUGUCUUUAUCUGUCAACUCCUCCAAAAUGUCAAAACACAAAGAAGAUAACUCUUGCUUAAAUUUUCAACCAUCAAUUUUUUAUUCACCCAGACUCAAAGUCCUGAUUAUCAGUUCUGGGUCCCUGGCAAUGACUGUUGGGUACAAACUGCAAAGCUUUGUUCUGCAGGUAGGGCUGGGCUUUUCAUUGACCAUGGGUUGGAAUAGUUCUGUGGGCAUAGUGUGUCUUCGAAGCCACUAUGUUUUCUGCACUUGUGACUAGAGAGCACCUUGAUAGCUCAGUUGGUAGAGCGGUGUACAGUAAGAUGCUCCUUGUAUGAAACGCUGUGAUCCUAAGGUCGCUGGUUCAACUCCAGCUCCAAGCACCUCCUUGUCAUUGGAAAUACCGCAAAGCCUUGUCUUUAUCUGUCAACUCCUCCAAAAUGUCAAAACACAAAGAAGAUAACUCUUGCUUAAAUUUUCAACCAUCAAUUUUUUAUUCACCCAGACUCAAAGUCCUGAUUAUCAGUUCUGGGUCCCUGGCAAUGACUGUUGGGUACAAACUGCAAAGCUUUGUUCUGCAGGUAGGGCUGGGCUUUUCAUUGACCAUGGGUUGGAAUAGUUCUGUGGGCAUAGUGUGUCUUCGAAGCCACUAUGUUUUCUGCACUUGUGAAUAGAGAGCACCUUGAUAGCUCAGUUGGUUGAGCGGUGGACUGUAAGAUGCUCCUUGUGGGAAACGCCGUGAUCCUAAGGUCGCUGGUUCAACUCCAGCUCCAAGCACCUCCUUGUCAUUGGAAAUACCCCCAAGCCUUGUCUUUAUCUGUCAACUCCUCCAAAAUGUCAAAACACAAACAAGAUAACUCUUGCUUAAAUUUUCAACCAUCAAUGUUUUAUUCACCCAGCCUAAAAGUCCUGAUUAUCAGUUCUGGGUCCCUGGCAAUGACUGUUGGGUACAAACUGCAAAGCUUUGUUCUGCAGGUAGGGCUGGGCUUUUCAUUGACCAUGGGUUGGAAUAGUUCUGUGGGCAUAGUGUGUCUUCGAAGCCACUAUGUUUUCUGCACUUGUGAAUAGAGAGCACCUUGAUAGCUCAGUUGGUAGAGCGGUGGACUGUAAGAUGCUCCUUGUGUGAAACGCUGUGAUCCUAAGGUCGCUGGUUCAACUCCAGCUCCAAGCACCUCCUUGUCAUUGGAAAUACCCCAAAGCCUUGUCUUUAUCUGUCAACUCCUCCAAAAUGUCAAAACACAAAGAAGAUAACUCUUGCUUAAAUUUUCAACCAUCAAUUUUUUAUUCACCCAGACUCAAAGUCCUGAUUAUCAGUUCUGGGUCCCUGGCAAUGACUGUUGGGUACAAACUGCAAAGCUUUGUUCUGCAGGUAGGGCUGGGCUUUUCAUUGACCAUGGGUUGGAAUAGUUCUGUGGGCAUAGUGUGUCUUCGAAGCCACUAUGUUUUCUGCACUUGUGACUAGAGAGCACCUUGAUAGCUCAGUUGGUAGAGCGGUGUACUGUAAGAUGCUCCUUGUGGGAAACGCCGUGAUCCUAAGGUCGCUGGUUCAACUCCAGCUCCAAGCACCUCCUUGUCAUUGGAAAUACCGCAAAGCCUUGUCUUUAUCUGUCAACUCCUCCAAAAUGUCAAAACACAAAGAAGAUAACUCUUGCUUAAAUUUUCAACCAUCAAUUUUUUAUUCACCCAGACUCAAAGUCCUGAUUAUCAGUUCUGGGUCCCUGGCAAUGACUGUUGGGUACAAACUGCAAAGCUUUGUUCUGCAGGUAGGGCUGGGCUUUUCAUUGACCAUGGGUUGGAAUAGUUCUGUGGGCAUAGUGUGUCUUCGAAGCCACUAUGUUUUCUGCACUUGUGACUAGAGAGUACCUUGAUAGCUCAGUUGGUAGAGCGGUGGACUGUAAGAUGCUCCUUGUGUGAAACGCUGUGAUCCUAAGGUCGCUGGUUCAACUCCAGCUCCAAGCACCUCCUUGUCAUUGGAAAUACCCCCAAGCCUUGUCUUUAUCUGUCAACUCCUCCAAAAUGUCAAAACACAAACAAGAUAACUCUUUCUUAAAUUUUCAACCAUCAAUGUUUUAUUCACCCAGCCUAAAAGUCCUGAUUAUCAGUUCUGGGUCCCUGGCAAUGACUGUUGGGUACAAACUGCAAAGCUUUGUUCUGCAGGUAGGGCUGGGCUUUUCAUUGACCAUGGGUUGGAAUAGUUCUGUGGGCAUAGUGUGUCUUCGAAGCCACUAUGUUUUCUGCACUUGUGAGUAGAGAGCACGUUGAUAGCUCAGUUGGUAGAGCGGUGGACUGUAAGAUGCUCCUUGUGUGAAACGCCGUGAUCCUAAGGUCGCUGGUUCAACUCCAGCUCCAAGCACCUCCUUGUCAUUGGAAAUACCCCCAAGCCUUGUCUUUAUCUGUCAACUCCUCCAAAAUGUCAAAACACAAAGAAGAUAACUCCUUCUUAAAUUUUCAACCAUCAAUGUUUUAUUCACCCAGCCUAAAAGUCCUGAUUAUCAGUUCUGGGUCCCUGGCAAUGACUGUUGGGUACAAACUGCAAAGCUUUGUUCUGCAGGUAGGGCUGGACUUUUCAUUGACCAUGGGUUGGAAUAGUUCUGUGGGCAUAGUGUGUCUUCGAAGCCACUAUGUUUUCUGCACUUGUGACUAGACAGCACCUUGAUAGCUCAGUUGGUAGAGCGGUGGACUGUAAAAUGCUCCUUGUGUGAAACGCCGUGAUCUUAAGGUCGCUGGUUCAACUCCAGCUCCAAGCACCUCCUUGUCAUUGGAAAUACCCCCAGGCCUUGUCUUUAUCUGUCAACUCCUCCAAAAUGUCAAAACACAAAGAAGAUAACUCUUUCUUAAAUUUUCAACCAUCAAUGUUUUAUUCACCCAGCCUAAAAGUCCUGAUUAUCAGUUCUGGGUCCCUGGCAAUGACUGUUGGGUACAAACUGCAAAGCUUUGUUCUGCAGGUAGGGCUGGGCUUUUCAUUGACCAUGGGUUGGAAUAGUUCUGUGGGCAUAGUGUGUCUUCGAAGCCACUAUGUUUUCUGCACUUGUGACUAGAGAGCACCUUGAUAGCUCAGUUGGUAGAGCGGUGGACUGUAAGAUGCUCCUUGUGUGAAACGCUGUGAUCCUAAGGUCGCUGGUUCAACUCCAGCUCCAAGCACCUCCUUGUCAUUGGAAAUACCCCCAAGCCUUGUCUUUAUCUGUCAACUCCUCCAAAAUGUCAAAACACAAAGAAGAUAACUCUUUCUUAAAUUUUCAACCAUCAAUGUUUUAUUCACCCAGCCUAAAAGUCCUGAUUAUCAGUUCUGGGUCCCUGGCAAUGACUGUUGGGUACAAACUGCAAAGCUUUGUUCUGCAGGUAGGGCUGGGCUUUUCAUUGACCAUGGGUUGGAAUAGUUCUGUGGGCAUAGUGUGUCUUCGAAGCCACUAUGUUUUCUGCACUUGUGACGAGAGAGCACCUUGAUAGCUCAGUUGGUAGAGCGGUGGACUGUAAGAUGCUCCUUGUGGGAAACGCCGUGAUCCUAAGGUCGCUGGUUCAACUCCAGCUCCAAGCACCUCCUUGUCAUUGGAAAUACCCCCUAGCCUUGUCUUUAUCUGUCAACUCCUCCAAAAUGUCAAAACACAAACAAGAUAACUCUUGCUUAAUUUUCCAACCAUCAAUGUUUUAUUCACCCAGCCUAAAAGUCCUGAUUAUCAGUUCUGGGUCCCUGGCAAUGACUGUUGGGUACAAACUGCAAAGCUUUGUUCUGCAGGUAGGGCUGGGCUUUUCAUUGACCAUGGGUUGGAAUAGUUCCGUGGUCAUAGUGUGUCUUCGAAGCCAUUAUGUUUUCUGCACUUGUGACUAGAGAGCACCUUGAUUGCUCACUUGGUAGAGUGGUGGACUGUAAGAUGCUCCUCGUGUGAAAAGCUGUGAUCCUAAGGUCGCUCGUUCAACUCCAGCCCCAAGCACCUCCUUGUCAUUGCAAAUACUCCCAAGCCUUGUCUUUAUCUGUCAACUCCUCCAAAAUGUCAAAACACAAACAAGAUAACUCUUUCUUAAAUUUUCAACCAUCAAUUUUUAUUCACCCAGCCUAAAAGUCCUGAUUAUCAGUUCUGGGUCCCCGGCAAUGACUGUUGGGUACAAACUGCAAAGCUUUGUUCUGCAGGUAGGGCUGGGCUUUUCAUUGACCAUGGGUUGGAAUAGUUCUGUGGGCAUAGUGUGUCUUCGAAGCUACUAUGUUUUUUGCACUUGUGACUACAGAGCACCUUGAUAGCCCAGUUGGUAGAGCGGUGGACUGUAAGAUGCUCCUUGUGUGAAACGUUGUGAUCCUAAGGUUGCUGGUUCAACUCCAGCUCCCAGCACGUGCAUUUCAUUGGUGUGAGCAAUGUUCAAAUUCUAUUCACAUUGAAAUAAUGCCAAGCCUUAUCUUCAUCUGUCAUCUCCUCCUUAAUGUAUAAACACAAAGAAUUUAACUCUUGCUUAAUUUUCCAACCAUCAAUUUUUUAUUCACCCAGCCUAAAAGUCCUGAUCAUAAGUUCUGGGUCCCUGGCAAUGACUGUUGGGUACAAACUGCAAAGCUUUCUUCUGCAGGUAGGGCUGGGCUUUUCAUUGACCAUGGGUUCAAAUAGUUCUGUGGGCAUAGUGUUUCGACUCAGCCACUAUGUUUUCUGCAGUAGUAACUAGAGAGCAUCUUGAUAGCUCAGUUGGUAGAGCGGAGGACUGUAGGAUGUUUCCGAUAGAAAUUGCUGUGAUCCUUAGAUCGCUGGUUCGACUCCGGCUCGAAUGAUAUGUAAGCAGUCUUCUGGUUUUAAUCACAUCGAAAUAAUGCGUAGCCUUGUCUUUUUCAAUCAACUACGUCACUUAAAAUGUACAAACACAAAUAAGAUAACUCCUCCUUGUGAUGGACCCACUUACUUUUCCGGUUGACCACCUUUAUGAAAGGCUCAUAUGGCCUACAUAUCACACAAAAAAUGUAAACACGAUAGAAAUGAUUAAUUCAAUGAAUUCAUCUUAGAAAUAAAUGGGCAUGGGCUGCAGGGGCUGUGUGAUCACAGACAACAUCUCGGUACUAUUUAGCGCACACCCCUUUUAAUAACCCCCAUAAAUACUGUUGUUCCGGACUUCUUACUUGUGCUUCCUACCUACCUACUGUAAUAACCGUUGUUCCAGCCAACAUGCAACAUUUUUGUUCUCAUUCAUGAAACGCUUAAAUCGGGGACAUUUUCGGGGACAGACAUAUGGUGACUGUCCCCGGAAAUCAGGGACGUCUGGUCACCUUAGUUAAAAGCGCAUGUUGAACAGUGCUAUUUCAGGGUGAUAAUGGCAUCAAAGAUGAAUUUUCUGCCAGCAUUCCCUCCGUGCUUUUGCAGCGGCGACGGUGUUGCUUUUGAGGUUUAUGAUAGAUUUGAAUUCUUCAUACUUUCUUAUGAUUGUUUUCUGCCCCUUGUUUGUGAAGUCUGCGGUCCUUCGCUCUGCAGUCUGCUCUCUGACGCUCCAGACUGGUCCAUGUUCGCGAUUGGUCAGAUGUGGCGGGCUCCGCCUUAAAUGCGUGCAUGCGCUCAUAGCAAAGCUGGAUCAACUUACGAGGUUGUUAACCAGCGUCGUAAGACCGUUUAGCGAGACCGCUGGCUACCGCGCUAAGUUGAGCGAGGUACCUCCAAGGCUACCUUGCUAGGUUGAACUUGCUUUGUAUAACAGGCCCCUGUUCUCUGUGCUGUAUCAGUUUUCAGUGUUUCUUGUUUUAUUUUGUAGUAGCUGAUUUUUUGUGUUUCUAGACUGGUUUUACUUCCCUAGUUUUCCCUCCUUUGUUAAUCACUCAUGAGUUUCACCUGUGUCUCGUCAGCCUCACCUGUUGCUCGUUAGCCUCACCUGUGUCUCGUCAGCAUCACCUGUUGCUCGUUUCCCAGUGUUUAUAAAGUCCCUGUCUUCUCCUCUGUUCUUGCUGGUUCUUUGUGUGUGCAUGUCUGUCUGUUCCCUGUGAUCUUUGAGUCCCAAAUAUCCUUGUAAUUUUUUUCACCCCACUGUCUAAAGCUGGAUUUUGCCUUUUGGAUGUUUUAGUUGGACAUUUUAAAGUAAGUUUUUGUUGCUUUACAUAAAGUUCUUUUUAAAUAAAUCAUUUUUUGUUCCGCAUUUGGGUCCUUUUUUCUGUUGUUCAACUCUGCUACGUGACAGUUACAGUUGAAGCAAAAAGAAAAAAGGUGCAUCUUUGUUUUUCUUAUAAAAUCGUUUUAGGUCUUCUCAAUUUAUCCCAAAUACUCCUUUCACUAGAGAGUUUAGUUCAAAAUUUUCCAGGUGGGCUUUAAAGAUGUAUAUUGACUAAAGUGGCAGCAUCAGGUUAGAUGCCAGCUAACUGAAAACUUGUUCUCAAAUCUCAUCCUUACAAGCAUGUAGGUUAAACUUGGUCUUGUAAACCUUGUGGGAAAAAUCACUUUUCUUACUGGUAUUUUUCUAAUUAUUCUUCUAAUUUCAUUUCUUCUUUUGAAGUGAAGCAGGUACGCAGCAGAUGCCGAUCACCUUGGCCUCUAAGUUGGGAAAUCUUCGGGAAAACUGAGAUGGAAGCCAGGCUAUCAACUGCUGCAAGUGGGGUCAGCUUCACCAUUUAAUGAAACUCCAACCCAAAGGCUCAUGUUGGUAAAGAUGUACACAUGACACAGAAUUUUUCCAGUACUCAAUUUUGCCACCAGAAAGCCUGUUCAUUACUGUUCUCCUUUGUACUCAAGAUGAGGCACAUCCAUGUUUAUCCAGUCAGCUUUGAAAGAAAUUAAAAAAACACAAUUUAAAUGUGACCACGCCCAAAGUUUGUGUAAUUAAAAUGAAGACAAGUAGACAAAGAGAACCUCACAAUUGCAAACGGACACAUUUUCAACAGCUUUGCCUCUUCAGAACUCGAACAUGGGUUAUGUGAAUCACUGAGUUUAACUUUGACUGUAGCUCUUCCAUGAGUUACAUGUGGUGCCUGGGGGUUUUUGCCAAUCUCUCUCCGUAAGAACUAAAAAAAGCUUUUUAGAUGAGAGGUAAAAAGUCUCUGAGGAAAUUUCUCAAAUGUCAGGCUCAGGCAAGGCUGCAGUACCAAGAGUCAUGAGUCAGAGAACUCCAUGAAUAAGAAGAAAAGAUUUUGAUCAUGCGUUUUCCAAUAAAUACAAACCAAAUAAACUGUGAGGAAAAAUUGGAAAUGACAAAGAAAGAUGGAAAGACCUCAGUGUGUUUUAUCUGAACUGCAGGUUUGACAGCUCGUUUAGAGUCCUUUAGCUGCAGGCUGCUGAGAAAAGGUAAAGUUGAUAAUCUUUCCUCUCCAUCUCCCCUUCCUGGGGUCUCUCCUCUCCUCUACCUCAGUGUGGGAUGAUCCAUGGGUGGUGUAGACACGCAGAGCAGGAAAACGCUGAUCACUGAGAGCUGGAUUCAUCUGAGCAGUCGGAGACCUUGGCAGCAGGCUGAGCUGGGAGCUGUUAUCUAUCUAUCAGCGAAAUGUCAGCUGCAGCCCUGUGGUCUCUCAGAUGAGAAAUUAAAAAAAAGACAAGUGGGAUUAAAAAGGAGAGGAAGGAGGCAUGAAAGCAGCUCGAGUUUCUGUUUGCCAAAAUCAAUCCAAUCUGAUUACCUCAGGAUUUUACACAUUAGAGAAACAGCUAAUCUUAACAGCGCUGUGUGAUGUGAGUGGAGGGCAGCUUCACUGUGAUUAAGGCAAACCUGUUUAUGCAAAUAUUCCCCAACAAAACAAACUUUUAUCCUAGAGAUCCUUCCAAGGGAACAUUUUCAACGUGCCAACAGUACAGUAUUCACCCAGACUUUAUCCCUCAUGUUUUUAUAGUUAAGGUAGUCAGUAUUUCUGAACAUUUAUUUCAAUUUAUAUUGAAAUUCAAGGUAACAUGAGAGCACUCUCCUCUUUUGACCCAAAAAUGUUGCAAGUUUCCCUUUCAGAAGAUUUGUAAUGCACAUCCUACAGUGAAAGACUGGUAUGCAGUAUGUGCGGAAGAACAGCUUCUCUUCUCGAGAUUUGUUCCUGUCUGGUCUACCAUGCCCCCCUCUUGUCACACCUCCCAUCACCCUCAUUACCUCUUGUAUUUUACCUGGUGUGCCUCAUAGUCUUAUCGCCAAUUCGUUGCACUUCUUGUCUUGCUCCAGUAUUUUUUCAUAGUUAUUGCCAAGCUGUGUAUUACCUUUGCCUUUUCGGAUCUUGCCUUUUGCCUCACGUUUUUGAUACCUCUGCCUGACCUGACUGCCUUUUUGUGAACCAACCUUUGCCAGAUCAUCAUU